UCCGUAUAACAAUACUCCGAGAACUGAAAGGCUUUUUGAAGUCUUCGGAUGGAUAGAAGAACCCCUGAUGCCGUCGAGCCAAGAAAAGUUUCUAAGUUUAGCUAAUGUUGCCCGUACCGUAAACCGACACAGGUGGGUGGGAUGAGUAUUCUAAGGCGCGUGGAAGAACUCUCUUUAAGGAACUCUGCAAAAUAGCACCGUAUCUUCGGUAUAAGGUGUGGUUAGCUUCGUACUAGGAUUUACUCCGAAAGCGAAGAAACUUACAACAAAGAGUCCCUCCCGACUGUUUACCAAAAACACAGCACUCUGCUAACUCGUAAGAGGAUGUAUAGGGUGUGACGCCUGCCCGGUGCUCGAAGGUUAAUUGAUGGGGUUAGCAUUAGCGAAGCUCUUGAUCGAAGCCCGAGUAAACGGCGGCCGUAACUAUAACGGUCCUAAGGUAGCGAAAUUCCUUGUCGGUUAAAUACCGACCUGCAUGAAUGGCGUAACGAGAUGGGAGCUGUCUCAAAGAGGGAUCCAGUGAAAUUGUAGUGGAGGUGAAAAUUCCUCCUACCCGCGGCAAGACGGAGAGACCCCGUGGACCUUUACUACAGCUUGACACUGCUACUUGGAUAAGAAUGUGCAGGAUAGGUGGGAGGCUUUGAGUAUAUGACGCCAGUUGUAUAUGAGCCAUUGUUGAGAUACCACUCUUUCUUAUUUGGGUAGCUAACCAGCUUGAGUUAUCCUCAAGUGGGACAAUGUCUGGUGGGUAGUUUGACUGGGGCGGUCGCCUCCCAAAUAAUAACGGAGGCUUACAAAGGUUGGCUCAGAACGGUUGGAAAUCGUUCGUAGAGUAUAAAGGUAUAAGCCAGCUUAACUGCAAGACAUACAAGUCAAGCAGAGACGAAAGUCGGUCUUAGUGAUCCGGUGGUUCUGUGUGGAAGGGCCAUCGCUCAAAGGAUAAAAGGUACCCCGGGGAUAACAGGCUGAUCUCCCCCAAGAGCUCACAUCGACGGGGAGGUUUGGCACCUCGAUGUCGGCUCAUCGCAUCCUGGGGCUGGAGCAGGUCCCAAGGGUAUGGCUGUUCGCCAUUUAAAGCGGUACGCGAGCUGGGUUCAGAACGUCGUGAGACAGUUCGGUCCCUAUCUGCCGUGGGCGUAAGAAGAUUGAAGAGAUUUGACCCUAGUACGAGAGGACCGGGUUGAACAAACCACUGGUGUAGCUGUUGUUCUGCCAAGAGCAUCGCAGCGUAGCUAAGUUUGGAAAGGAUAAACGCUGAAAGCAUCUAAGCGUGAAGCCAACUCUAAGAUGAAUCUUCUCUAAGCUCUCUAGAAGACUACUAGUUUGAUAGGCUGGGUGUGUAAUGGAUGAAAGUCCUUUAGCUGACCAGUACUAAUAGAGCGUUUGGCUUAUCUUUAAUAAAGCAU
rnacentral:rRNA from 1 species